GAGGGUAUAGCUCAGUGGUAGAGCGUGUGCUUAGCAUGCACGAAGUCCUGGGUUCCAGCCCCAGGAUCUCCA
rnacentral:tRNA from 1 species